AGGCGGGCGUGCUUACCUGCAAGUCGACGAUGAAGGGAUUAGUGGCGAACGGGUGAGUAACACGUGGGCAAUCUGCCCUGCACUCUGGGACAAGCCCUGGAAACGGGGUCUAAUACCGGAUACUGACCUACUUGGGCAUCCAAGUGGUUCGAAAGCUCCGGCGGUGCAGGAUGAGCCCGCGGCCUAUCAGCUUGUUGGUGAGGUAAUGGCUCACCAAGGCGACGACGGGUAGCCGGCCUGAGAGGGCGACCGGCCACACUGGGACUGAGACACGGCCCAGACUCCUACGGGAGGCAGCAGUGGGGAAUAUUGCACAAUGGGCGAAAGCCUGAUGCAGCGACGCCGCGUGAGGGAUGACGGCCUUCGGGUUGUAAACCUCUUUCAGCAGGGAAGAAGCGAAAGUGACGGUACCUGCAGAAGAAGCGCCGGCUAACUACGUGCCAGCAGCCGCGGUAAUACGUAGGGCGCAAGCGUUGUCCGGAAUUAUUGGGCGUAAAGAGCUCGUAGGCGGCUUGUCACGUCGGUUGUGAAAGCCCGGGGCUUAACCCCGGGUCUGCAGUCGAUACGGGCAGGCUAGAGUUCGGUAGGGGAGAUCGGAAUUCCUGGUGUAGCGGUGAAAUGCGCAGAUAUCAGGAGGAACACCGGUGGCGAAGGCGGAUCUCUGGGCCGAUACUGACGCUGAGGAGCGAAAGCGUGGGGAGCGAACAGGAUUAGAUACCCUGGUAGUCCACGCCGUAAACGGUGGGCACUAGGUGUGGGCAACAUUCCACGUUGUCCGUGCCGCAGCUA
rnacentral:rRNA from 1 species